rnacentral:rRNA from 1 species
AACGAACGCUGGCGGCAUGCCUAACACAUGCAAGUCGAACGAGACCUUCGGGUCUAGUGGCGCACGGGUGCGUAACGCGUGGGAAUCUGCCCUUGGGUUCGGAAUAACUUCGGGAAACUGAAGCUAAUACCGGAUGAUGACGUAAGUCCAAAGAUUUAUCGCCCAAGGAUGAGCCCGCGUAGGAUUAGCUAGUUGGUGAGGUAAAGGCUCACCAAGGCGACGAUCCUUAGCUGGUCUGAGAGGAUGAUCAGCCACACUGGGACUGAGACACGGCCCAGACUCCUACGGGAGGCAGCAGUGGGGAAUAUUGGACAAUGGGCGAAAGCCUGAUCCAGCAAUGCCGCGUGAGUGAUGAAGGCCUUAGGUUGUAAAGCNCUUUACCGGACUGAUAAUGACAGUACCGGGAGAAUAAGACUCCGGCUAACUACCGUGUCC